CAGCCAACUUCACUCACUUCACUUUUUUGGAAACGUGGAACAGAACGAACAGCUUCGCUCUAAGAAAAUAACAAAGAUGUGAACCAACAAUUAUGAGGUGCUACGUACAAUCGCUGGCAGAUGUGACUUGAAACAAAAUGGAGUUGAAAUUCAACACGUGCUUUUGGGCCAAUAACUUUGAUCUUUAAUGAUUGAUUCUCCAGACCUAUGGUUAAUUAUGAUCAUAGCUGAAAUGGAGGCUUCUUGGUCCACUUAUUGAAAUGUCUUUGAAAAUAUGCUGGAUUUAAUCAUCCUAUGACAAACUUGGACAAAUUAAAAAGAUGAGAGAAAGAACAAUUGGAUAUUCUUGCUCGAUGCCCAAUUGAAGAAUUGAAGAUAAAAAGGUUUUCCAAAUCGGAAGAUUCUUCAUAUGCCUGAUGUACUCAUUUAAAUACCCACCAAGAUUUGGCUCCUUGGCAGAGAAUCUAACAAGGCAGGCUUCUGUGUCUACUAAUGAUGUCUGCGACCAACACACAAAUCAUCAAUCAGAUAAUUUAAAAUCCAAAAAGAAAACCAAACAGAAACUUAUUAAACCACACAUUGAAUAAAAACCUCAAUUUGAAAUGUUAAAAA